rnacentral:tRNA from 1 species
GCUGGUGUAGCUCAGUGGGUAGAGCGUCAGUGGAAAACUGAAGGGUCCCAGGUUCGAUUCCAGUCAAGGGCA